rnacentral:lncRNA from 1 species
AAGACUCACUAGUCCAGAAGUCGGAACACCUGAGUCACUUGACAUGCACUCUCAGAUGAGCUGCUGAGUUCCUGAGCCCAGAUGUCCACCCUCCUUCACGAGCCCAGAAUUGAGCUCGUAUCGCCAACAUGUUUUGCGGAAAUGCUCGUAUCAACACUUGGUGAACCGGGAAGACUGUACCCUCAUUUCUUUCUCCUGCUGCCUGCUAGGUUGAGUUAGAAAGCUUACUCUCGAGUUUUACUGGCUUGCUUGUGCUUUUUGGCAUUUUCAAAAUUUUGUACAAUGAUUUUCAAAAAGAAAAAAUACAUUAAUUUUUUUAAAGGUAGGAUCCAUAUGAGAUUGGAUCUUCAUCUUUUAACACUUUGGAGAACAGAAAAGUGGUAUUUGGAGAUAUCAUCUUCAUAAGAAUUGUGGCACUGAAUAAGGCUCCACGGGCAAAUGAGAGAGCAACUUGGAAAACCUGCCACUCACUACCACUGACGCCCACAAGAGGGCGUCUCAGGGUCAUCCAGAAGGCAAAACUCAAGUCCAAGAUCCUCUUCCCAGCAGCUGGAAAUGACCAAUGAGUAGGUUCUGGAAUAUCAGCAAUGACCCCGGCUCUCCAGCACUUUACAGUUUACAUUAGACUCUCCUCCCCCACGUCAUUUGCCCCUCCCAAGGCCAGUUCUCCCGGUGGUUUCCAGCCCUGGGGCGUUUGUGGUUCUCUCUGCCUAGUGGGAUGCAACUGGCAUUUAGUGUUUGUCCGUAUGUGGGUGUGGCUGGGGAGGGCAGAGAGGCAAACAGCCCCGCACAAGCUGUACAGUCCCCCUCAUCAAGAUGUGGCACUCCCUCUUUGCCAAUAGCAACUCCUUUUUUGAAACACUGGGCCUGAAGCAAUCAUCUUGAAGACAUUUUUCAUCAAUCUUGUUGAAAUCAACCUGGUUUUUCAAAAUAGAGGAAGCACAUCAAUGAA